rnacentral:rRNA from 1 species
UACGAAGGGGGCGAGCGUUGUUCGGAUUUACUGGGCGUAAAGCGCACGUAGGUGGCGACGUAAGUCGGGUGUGAAAGCCCCGGGCUCAACCUGGGAAUUGCAUUCGAGACUGCAUUGCUGGAGUACGGAAGAGGAGGGCGGAAUUCCCGGUUUAGCGGUGAAAUGCGUAGAUAUCGGGAGGAACAUCAGUGGCGAAGGCGGCCCUCUGGUCCAGUACUGACACUCAAGUGCGAAAGCGUGGGGAGCAAACAGG